CAGUAGCCACGGGAAUACGUAGGGUGCGAGCGUCAAUCGGAAUUACUGGGCGUAAAGCGUGCGCAGGCGGUUUUGUAAGACAGGCGUGAAAUCCCCGGGCUCAACCUGGGAAUGGCGCUUGUGACUGCAAAGCUAGAGUGCGGCAGAGGGGGAUGGAAUUCCGCGUGUAGCAGUGAAAUGCGUAGAUAUGCGGAGGAACACCGAUGGCGAAGGCAAUCCCCUGGGCCUGUACUGACGCUCAUGCACGAAAGCGUGGGGAGCAAACAGGAUUAGAUACCCGUGUAGUCCCUGUCUUUUAUAC
rnacentral:rRNA from 1 species